UGGGGAAUAUUGCACAAUGGGCGCAAGCCUGAUGCAGCCAUGCCGCGUGUAUGAAGAAGGCCUUCGGGUUGUAAAGUACUUUCAGUCGGGAGGAAGGUAGUAAGGUUAAUAACCUUAUCAAUUGACGUUACCGACAGAAGAAGCACCGGCUAACUCCGUGCCAGCAGCCGCGGUAAUACGGAGGGUGCAAGCGUUAAUCGGAAUUACUGGGCGUAAAGCGCACGCAGGCGGUUGAUUGAGUCAGAUGUGAAAUCCCCGGGCUUAACCCGGGAAUUGCAUCUGAUACUGGUCAGCUAGAGUCUUGUAGAGGGGGGUAGAAUUCCAUGUGUAGCGGUGAAAUGCGUAGGGAUGUGGAGGAAUACCGGUGGCGAAGGCGGCCCCCUGGACAAAGACUGACGCUCAGGUGCGAAAGCGUGGGGAGCAAACAGG
rnacentral:rRNA from 1 species